rnacentral:rRNA from 1 species
UACGUAGGGUGCGAGCGUUAAUCGGAAUACUGGGCGUAAGGCGUGCGCAGGCGGUUCGUUAAGUUCGUUGUGAAAGCCCCGGGCUCAACCUGGGAACUGCAAUGGAAACUGGCGGGCUUGAGUGUGGCAGAGGGGGGUGGAAUUCCGCGUGUAGCAGUGAAAUGCGUAGAGAUGCGGAGGAACACCGAUGGCGAAGGCAGCCCCCUGGGCCAACACUGACGCUCAGGCACGAAAGCGUGGGGAGCAAACAGG